UACGAAGGGGGCUAGCGUUGUUCGGAAUUACUGGGCGUAAAGCGUGCGCAGGCGGCUUCUCAAGUCAGGAGUGAAAUCCCUGGGCUCAACCCAGGAACUGCGUCCGAUACUGGUUGGCUUGAAUCCGGGAGAGGGAUGUGGAAUUCCAGGUGUAGCGGUGAAAUGCGUAGAUAUCUGGAGGAACACCGGUGGCGAAGGCGACAUCCUGGACCGGUAUUGACGCUGAGAUGCGAAAGCGUGGGAAGCAAACAGG
rnacentral:rRNA from 1 species